AUUAUUGAGAGUUUGAUCCUGGCUCAGGACGAACGCUGGCGGCGUGCCUAACACAUGCAAGUCGAACGGAGACAAUUGGUUCGCUGAUUGUCUUAGUGGCGGACGGGUGAGUAA
rfam:Sporobacter termitidis DSM 10068 genome assembly, contig: EK05DRAFT_scaffold00019.19